AAAACGAGCGUAUUUACUAUUUAGUAAAGUGUAUUCUUUCCUAAGCCCUCACCCUCCCGAUCCAAUCGCCCUUCGCCGCCAGGUACAAGGUUUUGCCUCUCUAAUUGAAUGGGGGAUCGGAACACCGCUGCUCCCAAAGCAAUAUGGCUGAAGCAAGCCGAAGAAGCCAAACUCAAGAGCGAGGCCGAGAAGGCCGCGGCUGCAAAAGCCGCAUUCGAAGCCACAUUCAAAGACGUUGCGAAUAAAGCUCGCGAGAAGCAACCGGGUUCUGGUUCUGAUAGUGAUUCUGAAGACGAUUGGGAGGAGGAUUUGAGCAACAAGCCCAUCGGGCCAGUGGACCCCGCCAAAUGCACGGCUGCUGGUGCGGGUAUUGCUGGUGGCACGGCGGGUGCUGCGUCUUCGUUUAUGGUUGUGACCAAGGACUCGGAUGGGAGGAAGGUGGCUAAUGGAGGUGCUCAAAUAAGUGUGAAGGUUGCACCGGGUGUAGGAGUGGGCGGUUCGGAGCAGGAGGGGAUUGUUAAGGACAUGAAUGAUGGUACUUAUACUGUCACUUAUGUGGUUCCUAAGAGGGGUAAUUAUAUGUUGAGCAUUGAGUGCAAUGGUAAACCCAUUAUGGGUAGUCCCUUCCCGGUUUUCUUCAGUGCAGGUACUUCAACUGGAGGACUGUUGGGUAUGGCUCCUGCCUCCAAUUUUCCUAAUUUAGUCAACCAAACUAUGCCCAACAUGCCAAACUAUUCUGGGUCAGUUUCAGGGGCAUUUCCUGGAUUACUUGGAAUGAUUCCAGGUGUUGUUUCUGGAGCUUCUGGUGGUGCUAUUUUGCCUGGAAUGGGAGCAUCACUUGGGGAGGUUUGUCGAGACUAUCUUAAUGGUCGUUGCCCGAAAACUGAUUGCAAAUUGAACCACCCGCCUCACAAUUUGCUAAUGACUGCAUUAGCUGCAACAACCAGCAUGGGGACUCUCAGUCAGGUGCCUAUGGCGCCUUCUGCAGCCGCAAUGGCUGCUGCUCAGGCUAUUGUUGCUGCCCAGGCUCUUCAAGCUCAUGCUGCUCAGGUUCAAGCACAACAGUCAACCAAAGAAUCGUCUGAUGACAAAGCAGGGAAGGCUGAUGCUUUGAAAAGAACUCUACAAGUUAGCAAUCUUAGCCCACUUCUUACUGUGGAACAGCUGAAGCAACUUUUUAGCUUUUGUGGCACAGUUCUUGAAUGUACCAUAACUGAUUCAAAACAUUUUGCCUACAUAGAAUAUUCAAAACCUGAAGAAGCAACUGCCGCUUUGGCAUUAAACAAUAUGGAUGUUGGAGGUCGGCCAUUGAAUGUUGAGAUGGCUAAAGCACUUCCACCAAAAACUCUUGUGAAUUCAUCACUUGCUUCUUCUUCUCUGCCAAUGAUGAUGCAGCAAGCUGUUGCCAUGCAACAGAUGCAAUUCCAGCAGGCUUUGCUGAUGCAACAAACUCUGACUGCGCAGCAGGCAGCUAACAGAGCUGCAUCUAUGAAGACUGCUACAGAGUUGGCUGCUGCUAGAGCUGCAGAGAUAAGUAAGAAGUUAAAAGCAGAUGGACUUGGGGAUGAUGAAAAGGAAACAAAAGAAAAAUCCAGGUCACCAUCUGCAUCUUGUGCCAAGUCGAGAUCCAAGUCGAGGUCACCAAUCCAUUAUCAGCGAACCUCACGUGCUAGGUCAAAAUCCAGAUCAAGAUCACCGGUCGGUUACCGUCGAAGGCGGAGAUCACGCUCUUUCUCGCCUCUAUCCCGCCACCCAAGAGAUCACAGAUCUAGGUCACCGCGAAGAUUGCGUCAUUAUUCAAGUUAUGACAAUGACAGGCUUUCGUACAGAGAUGUCAGGGACAGUGGUGGCAGAUGUAGAAGGCGGGAUUCAGGUAGAUCAUAUGAUCACCAUUCACCUGUUUCAAGGAGGAAAAGGAGUAGGAGUAGGAGUUUGAGUCCUCACAAUAAAAAAUCAUAUCGAUCUGGUUCAGAGACACCAAAACAUCACUCACCUGAUAGAGCUAGAAAAUCAUCUCGUGGUCGCUCAAGAUCACCAAGGCCUCUUAGAGGAAGUGGGACAUCCCCAAGAAAUGAUGAUAUAAAACUAAAAUACAGAAAGCGUUCUAGGUCAAAGUCUGUGGAAGAAUUUGAUGAAAAAAUUGAUGAUGUUCAAGAUAGAAAAUCAAGGCAUCGUGAAAGAAAGCGUUCUAGGUCCUUGUCCAGGGAAGUUAAGCAUCAUGGAAGAGGCAGGUCACCCCCAAAAACUUCUGAUGAAAGUAGAUCAAGGCAUAGGAAGCGGUCCAGGUCAAAAUCUGUGGUGGGGAAAAGUUACUCGAAUGAGAAAGUGGAUGAGAUGAGAGAUGAGAGAUCAAAACAUCAUCAUAAGAGGCGGUCCAGAUCUAAAUCUGUGGAAGCUGACCAUCGCAUCAUGGAGAAAGGGGACGAAAGUAGGGAUAGGAAAUCAAAGCAUCGUGAUAGGAGGCGAUCCAGGUCAAUAUCUGCCGAUGGUAAGCGUCGCAGAAGAAGCCGGUCUCCAAGGGGUUUGGAUGAAGGUAAAGCAAAACACCGAAGGUGUUCCAGGUCAAAGUCUAUUGAAGGCAAGCAUCACUCUGAUGAUAGAGUAGGUGAAAGUAGAGAUGAAAAAUCAAAGCGUCGGAGGGGUAGGUCAAGAUUGGCAGAACGUAGGCAUCACAGUAGUAGGUUGUCACCGGGAAGCUUGGAGCAGAGUGAAUUGAACUGUAAAAGGCGCUCCAGGUCACAAUCUGAAGAAGGUAAGCAUCAUAUAGAAGGUGGGAAUGCUGAACCAAGAGAUCAUAAAUCAAUGCAUGAUCAGCCAAAUUUGGAUAAAGCUGAAGAUGCCACUGUGGAACCAGAUUAUAGUGUGAAGGAUUCGCCUAUGAUGGGGGAUGAUGGAUUUUCUACUUCAAAACACAAGAAUCGUGACUUUAAGAAAUCAAUAGAUUCAAUAGAAAAAAAUCAUGGUAUGAAAAGCAUAGAUCGACAAGAUUUUAAGAGUGAUGAAGUAAAUUCAGUGAUGCAGAGUUGUGGGAUUUCUUAUGAGGCAGAGGAACUUAGGAGAAAAGAAAUGCCAGAUUCUAAGCUUGUUAGAAAUGGAUUAGAAGAAGAUCAAACUGAUUACUGAAGGUCAACCCCAGUUGACAAUUUUGACUGAACUGGCUUGAGCAGUGACUGGAAUCUGUCAACAAUGUAUUCAAGUUCUUGUUCUAGAAAAAGUUCUAAGUCUCCCUGAGGUUGAAAGCUCACAAGAGAAGCUCCAUAUGAAAUGCUGAAGUUACAAUCAGAAGUUAAAAUAUGAAAUAAAUUGGAUCAAGGGCUGCUUUUGAACCUAGAUUAUCCAGAGGGAGAUGUUGAUGAGUGAUGCCUCUUAAAAGCUCUGAAGCUUGCUAUAAUCAUGAAUAACUUUCUAGCAUUUGGAGUUUGAAGGGUGGUUCUCUCAGAAGACUGCUUAGAUUUUUAAUUUUUGGUGUUGGGAUAUUUCUACUGGUUGUUGGCUUUUCAUAAAUGUAUGCACUCUUUGUUUGUUUAUCUUUGCAGGUCCAUGUGGAACGUAUCUGUACUUGAGUCUUCAAGCUAAUCUAAUAUGGAUAAGUAUCUGAAGAUGUGUUCUGCUUCCACCUGGCCGUCCAUGCAACAUUGUAGCAAAGCAUCUUUUACUACUAGAUAUAUUGGAUUUUAUUGAACAAUUGCAGGACAUUGUGUAAACGUAAGCUUCUGCAUGGAUGUAUUAUGCGUGAAGACAAUAAGCAUGUUUGAUAACUAGGGAGGUGGUUCUUAGUGUAGAUCUCUUUGCACUGCCCCCAGCUCAUUUUGGUUCUCAGGUUUACCGUUUUCAAUAUGCAGCUUUUCACUCCUGUUUUACGUGAAAAGACUAUUGUGCUUGAUAGGCUUGCCUUUGAUGUUGCUGAUCAUUGGUUGCUAUUUUAUAUACCUGUCACGGUGUAGUGGGCAUGUUAUAAGCAAACACAUGUGGUUUGUAUGAUUGGUUUGGGAGGGUUGGUUUUAUUGCUAUAAACAAAGGAACUCUCUUGAGUAGGCAAGCUUCUUUGAGUGAGAUCAGAUGUGGCUGGGAUGAGUAGCGUUACAAUUUCACCAUGUUGAAUAUGAGCAUAUUGGCUGACUCAAAAUACUUAAUUUCAUGGUGUGCAAAUGUUGGUUUUAACAGGAUAAGCUUCCGGAUAUGACGAUUAGGGAGCUGAAGCCUUUUGUUCCAACGCAUAAUAAGUUAUGCAUGAAGUGGAUGUCAAAGUUUUAUGCUUCUCUCUCCCUUCUUUCUUUUUUUAUUUUUCCUCCUUUUUUUUAACGAUGAUAAUUGAUCAAUUGGAUAUCUCCAAGAGGACAGGGAACUGGCAUUGAUACGAUGAGAUUUACAGUGUUUUGUUCUUAUCGAAGUUCAUUCUAACUUGAGAAUGUGAAUAUAAAUCUAGUGUAGCUUAGAA